CAACGNGACCCCAGGUCAGGCGGGGCUACCCGCUGAGUUUAAGCAUA
rnacentral:rRNA from 1 species